GCGAGAUUAACUCAGAUGGUAGAGUGUUUCCUUGACGUGGAAGAAGUCAGGGGUUCGAGUCCCUUAUCUCGCACCA
rnacentral:tRNA from 1 species